GAUGAACGCUAGCGGCAGGCUUAAUACAUGCAAGUCGAGGGGCAGCAGGACGGUAGCAAUACCGUUGCUGGCGACCGGCAAACGGGUGCGGAACACGUACGCAACUUACCCAUAACUGGGGGAUAGCCCGGGGAAACCCGGAUUAAUACCUCGUAACAUCGUGAGGUGGCAUCACCUUACGAUUAUAGCUCCGGCGGUUAUGGAUGGGCGUGCGCCUGAUUAGGUAGUUGGCGGGGUAACGGCCCACCAAGCCUACGAUCAGUAACUGGUGUGAGAGCACGACCAGUCACACGGGCACUGAGACACGGGCCCGACUCCUACGGGAGGCAGCAGUAAGGAAUAUUGGUCAAUGGACGCAAGUCUGAACCAGCCAUGCCGCGUGAAGGAUGAAGGUCCUCUGGAUUGUAAACUUCUUUUAUAUGGGACGAAACCCGGGUAUUCCUACCCGAUUGACGGUACCAUAGGAAUAAGCACCGGCUAACUCCGUGCCAGCAGCCGCG
rnacentral:rRNA from 1 species